rnacentral:lncRNA from 1 species
UAAACUUUUACAAUAUUAGUGAAGAUAUAUUUCUUCAGAUUUCUGUCUUGUUACUUUUCCUUUUAAGCUACUAGUAAUUCCGCGACUAGGGGCUAACCUGCUUGGUUUAUGUACCAAGUUGGUAUCAGAGCUCCUCUGAUCCGGGAGGGGUUUUUAGUGGUGUAUGGUCCUUACUUGAACACAGUACAGAAAGCUAGGCAAGGUUCUUGUUUCUUGGGAGCAAACCAAGAAGUCAAGAAGGAAGAAGAUGGGUGACGAGACAUCAGACAAGGCGAGGCUUCAUGCGGUGGAGAAACAGCUGACGUUGGUAACUGCGACUCUAACAGAACUGGCCAAUCUCAUCAAACAGGAGAAGAAGGUUGAUCCUACAAAGAAACCAAAGAAGGCUCCUGAAUCAGGUGAUGAGUCAGGCGAAACAGAUACAGACAGAGACACCGACGAUGACGGCGAAACUUCACAGCAAGGAGCCAAGGAUUCCCUUCGAAAUCUUAAGAUUGAUUUCAAGGUUGAAAUCUCUAUGUAUGACGGAAGCGUCAACGUAGAGAAACUGGACGACUGGAUUGAACAUCUAGAGACCUAUUUUACUCUUUAUGGCUAUUCGUCAAGAGAGAAGAUUAUUUUCGCAACCCUGAAACUAUCGGUCCAUGCUCUUUCUUGGUGGAAGUCCUAUCGGAAACACAACAAAGGGGAGGAUGUGUCAUGGAAGAAGUUUAAAGAGUUGUUGAGGAAACAGUUCUACCCAGUUGGUUUUCUGGAAGAACGAUGGAACAGAUGGUAUAACUUACGACAGAGAUUCAAUCAGUCCGUACAAGAAUAUACUACUGAAUUCCAGAACCUAGCUAUGGUUUUGGACAUCGUACUAGAAGAUUAUUCGGUGUACAUCAAGUUUGUGUCGGGGUUGAACGAAUACAUUCGUAAGGAGUUGAGACUGUUCACAAUGGAGUCCAUUGCCGAAGCCAGUGUGAAAGCAAUUGCUAUUGAGAGCAAACUCAGAAAGGGCGAAGCAAAAGGAGAGGCGAAGCUACCUGGGAACAAGACUAACAAUUCGGGUGUGAAGAAGGAGGAGCCAAAACGGGGAAAGAACGAGUCAGAAGGGAAGGAGAGUUCGACAUGCAGUCACUGUGGUGCAACCAAUCAUGCAGUAGAGAAGUGCUGGGUGAAAUAUCCACACCUUAAACUGAGAGGCUUGAGGCAGCAAGAAGCAAAGAAGAAGGCAGCAUUGAUCACAGGACCAACGGAAGUUCCAGGCAUGAAUGAACCAAACACCAGACUUAACCUUAUGGCAAGAAAGACUCCUAUAGCCGAAGAGGAAGAUCCUAGGGAACAGCUCUUCGUUGUUAAGUUACAAGUGAAGACUAGUCUAGUUGAUGCCAUAGUUGAUCCGGGAAGUCAGAAAAACCUCAUCUCGGAAGCCUUGGUUCAAAAGCUGGGUCUCAAGACGGUCAAGCAUCCAAAGCCCUACCCUUUGGGAUGGAUACAGAAGGAAGCUGGUUUGAGUGUAGUUAAUCAGUGUACUUUCAAGUUCGCACUACACGAGUCUUACAUCGACGAAGUGACGUGUGACUUGGUUCCUUUGGAUGUUUUCAGGUAAUUCUGGGUAAUCNNNNNNNNNNNNNNNNNNNNCCUUGCAAGAAGACCAGUUACAGGGGCUGGUGCAGCUAAGUUAUUCUUUGAGAAUGUCUGGAAGCAUUUUGGGUUGCCUAGUUCGAUUAUUUCUGAUCAUGACAGCAGGUUUCUUGGUCACUUUUGGGAUUCUUUGUGGGGAAUGAUGGAUACACGCCUAAAAAGAAGUACAGCCUUUCAUCCACAAACGGAUGGCCAGACUGAAGUAGUUAACAGAACUAUGGUGCAUCUAUUGCGGGGAUACAAUGCUAAGCAUCCGAAGACUUGGGAUGAGAGUCUUCCGUAUUUACAGUUUGCUUUCAACAGGGCUGUUCAUAGUUCUUCUGGGACAUCUCCAUUUGAAGCUUGUUCUGGCUACUUACCGCCAAGUCCGUUUGAUAUGGUUUUUACUGUAGGUACGGAUCAUCAUCGGAAAGUGGCUAUUGAGAGACUAAAUGCUCAGAAGUUUUUAGAGAAAAUCAGUAAGAUACAUGCGAUUGUUGAAGCUCAGUUACAGAAGUCCCAGGCACGGUACAAGGCCAAGCAUGAUAAGCACCGCAUACCUUGUAACUUUGGUGUUGGAGUAUUUGGUCUGGUUGAAGUUGAGCAAGGAACGUUUGAAAGGUGAAGGUAAGAAGUUGAAGCCACUUCGGUACGGUCCUUUCCGUAUUCUGCAGCAGAUUGGCGACAAUGCCUUCAGGCUCGACUUGCCGCCAUAUUUGGGCAUGUAUUCAGUUAUCAAUGCUGAGUACUUGAAGUUGUUUGAACCACCAUUGCUUGAUGAUGAUGGGGAUGACAAGGUUGUUUUACCACCAGUUGAUGACUUGUGGUUUAACAGAGAGGAGCCAUUAAAAGAGGAUUGCAUUUUGGAGCAGAAAGUGACAAAGACACGUCAAGGGGAACAAGCCGUAUUCCGUAUUGGACGCGCCGGUCAAGUUCCUAGUCGAUCUAAAUGGUUCAACAACGAAAAGGGAACUCUUGAGUUUCCUCAUCUCCAGUUUUAACUUAAACAGGAGUUUAAGUUUCUAGAAGGGGGAGCCAUGAUACAGGUGUAUCCGAAUCCUACUAGGAACUUAGUUAGUUUUCAUAGUUAACCAUGUCAGGAAUUCUGUUUCUUACUUAGAUUAGGAAUAGUCUUCAGGUUAGUUAUGGAUUCUAGUUCUAUAAAUAAGAGAUGUUUAGUUAGAACAAAACAUAGACGAAACAGAAAGUAAACCUUCUGUUUAGAGAAUAUUGUAGAGUUGUAAACUUUUACAAUAUUAGUGAAGAUAUCUUUCUUCAGAUUUCUGUCUUGUUACUUUUCCUUUUAAGCUACUAGUAAUUCCGCGACUAGGGGCUAACUUGCUUGGUUUCUGUACCAAAAAGUAGAAGAACUGUGAGUAACGAAUUGAAAGGAAGUAGAUCGAAGAACACAAACCUGAUUGAGGUGAGUGACGGUGAGGUGGAGGUUGGAGAGAGAAGGAGGAUGACGCCGUCGAAGAAGAAGCUUUCGGGUACGGAGAAGAGGUGACGGCCGAGGACAGUGGUCGAGGAGAGUGAGGGGUUUGGUGGAGGAGAGAUGAAGAAGUGGGAAGAAUAGGGUUUUGAGAAAGAACUGGAUUUGGGAAAGAUGUUUGGGCGCCUAGAUAUUUGUUGAAAAUUUUCCAACUUUUGGGUGGAAAGUUGAUUGACCACCUAAUCUUGGUUUCAAAUUGCUCCAAAUUUUGAGUCGAAAAGUUGACCGCCUAAUCUUGGCCGCUAGCAAAAAAAAUAUUCAUAAAAAAUAAUACAAAUGGAAGGAAAUAAUUAUGAGAAACCACUCAUAUUUAGCAACAAAUCCUUAUUAAUUAAAUAAAAUAAAAGUUUACUAACACAUACUUAAAUACAAGAACUAAUUUCAGUUUACCCCUAUCAACUUUAGGUUGAUCAUCACGUUAGACCUUCUUCUUUCAAUUUCAUCAAAAACACCCCUCAACUUCCAAUUUUCAUCAGCCGCGCAUGUC